GCGUAAAAUGCGCCCGUUGGUGCUCGCGGUGUGGUUCACACGCCGCAGUUCAACGGGAAGCAGGAGGGAGAAGCCGGCAACGGCCAACCUAACCUGCGCUGCCCCCGCAACGGUAAGUGGACGAGUCCUUGAACUCCGCUUCCAUCACGGCCACUGAGCGUAUCGAACACACGCUUGGGAAGGCGAUGGAGGUUGCUUCCACCAGCCCGGAUACCGGCCAACACGGUGGAGGUGCG
rnacentral:ncRNA from 2 species